rnacentral:lncRNA from 1 species
GAUCUAAAAGAGAAGAAGGAAGUUGUUGAAGAAACAGAAAAUGGCAGAGAUGCACCGGCCAACGGCAAUGCUAACGAGGAAAACGGGGAGCAGGAGGCCGACAACGAAGUAGACGAAGAGGAAGAGGAAGGUGGCGAGGAAGAGGACGAGGAGGAAGAGGGUGAUGGUGAGGAGGAGGGCAGCUGAGGACGACGAGGUAGGCAGAGCACCCCUUGUGUCCCGAGUGGGUUUUGGGGUGGAAUCAGUGGGGUCGGAGGCACCAGGCUGGGCUUUGGGACCCGGAUCCUGCCCGUGUGGUUCCCGCUGUGUGUGCCCCUGGGGGAUUCGGCCCAGUUCUUCAUGUACUGGCCUGGCUGUGAUCACCCUGGGUUUGGGAUCCCAGUGCUGUGGUGGGAUGGGACAGGGGUGCUCCGGCCCCAAAACCAGCUGCCAGAGGCUUCAUGCUGUGGGGAACACUUCUGCUGCAGGGACAAAGCAGAACAAGAGCAGAGGGACCCAAAAUCUCCUUUAUUUCUGCCCCUUUAUUCUGUUGUCCCCUCCCCUAACGGCUUUACCUUUCCCCUCAGGACGACGACGUCGAUCCCAAGAAGCAGAAAACCGACGAAGAUGACUAGGCAGCAAAUUAUUAUUAUUUUUUUUUUUAAAUAAGGAGGAAAACAAACCAACAAAAAAGGCCAGCGCGUCCUC